GGGCCAGGCAGGAGGCGCUGCGACUCCCCGGCUGAUUCAAACAGGGAGUUCAGAUGAGCUGAACUAACCCGGAGAUCACGAACUGAAAGAAGCACCUACUGCUGUUCCAGAAAGGGGGACUAAUUGAUGGACAGCAUCUAUCACGGAGUGCUGUGAACCCUGGAAAAGGUUGACAGUGGAGG
rnacentral:lncRNA from 1 species